ACUGCAAUUGGAUGGCAAUUACUACGUUAUUGGCUGUGCUAUAUUAAGCAAUUUCAUGGUAAUUAGAUUUCAGUUAGAAGUCAGUGGCAGAAAACUACUCUCGUCAUGGUAAAUGUCCGGUUGUGAAUACUUUUUAGUUCGGACACAGAUUGUUUUAAAUAACUUUGGCAUAUAGCAAAGUUUAAUUUAAGGUCUACGAAGUUGCUGCAUUACACGGUCUGGGAACAUUUCCAAGUCUUUUAAAUAGAUAAAACCAUUGUCCUGAAAUAUAUUUUUAGAGCGUUAGAUUUCUUAUCGCUGCUCCCUUCUUGUCUAGACUCCUCUGGUUUUCUCUGAUUUAACCCCACUGGAUCCGCGUUGGGCUUCAAUGACUUUCCGAAACUUGCGUGUUCUACUCACCGUUCGCAGUUGCACUUAAGCAGGCGGAUAAAGGCCGCCCGAAACGUUCGAUUGAAUAUGGUGUAGAUGAUUGGAUUGAUCGUCGAGGAGACAUAACCAAGCCAAAGACAGGUAUUCACUACGCGCUCCGGCACUCGGCACUCAGGGCAGAUGGCAAAUAUAAUGUUCAAGAUAAAAAAAGGGGACCAGCACA